rnacentral:lncRNA from 1 species
CAGUUAACCCAGAGCAGCUGAGCCCGCUGUGCUCCCAGCUGCCAUUAAAAGAGCUCAGCCUGAGCUGGCUGUAGUCUGAAGAGCGUCUUUCCUUCAGCUACCCAGGCAUGAGGAUGCAGACAUUUGCCACCAGACUGUUUCUGAAGGGGCCAAUGUGGGGACAAAGAAGCAGAAACUGGAGCUAUGAGAGCAAGGAAGAACAGGAGGCAGGUGUGCCAACAGCCACAGCCCAGAGAGCCCUGGGAGCAACGUUAGAGCUUGUAGGAGCAUCCCCGAUGCCAAUGUGUGACCUUGCUAAGGGCUGCAGUUAAUGCAGAUUCAACAAAUAAAUAAACAUUUGCAAUAGGUUCAGACGUGACCUCAUCCCAACGGUGAUCACUAACAGAAUUAUUGACCUGACCGUUUGCUGCUGGAGAAUUUUGGAAAUGCCAGGUUCAUUACAGCCCUGCUUAUUGCCAGGAAGCAUUACAGCUUUGUGCUCGCAGCAGCUUUAAAGGCAGAUGAAAGCCAUAACGCCGGGUCACCCCAGAGACACACCAAGUGCAUCAUCUCAGGUGACCUUUGGGGCUGGGAAGAAGCUGCAGUUUCCCACUAGCAUCCAUGAGUCAACACGAGCAUCAAGUCACAGCAGCACGCCGAACCUCAUUUAUCAUUCCAUUUAAGGUGUCAGCAGAGCCAUUAUUCAAAUGAAUGGCCACGCAUGCAAUCAAUCUUUAAUGAAACAAUAAUUGCACCUUCCACUCUGCAAGACCUCUGCCUUUCUUAAAGGUAUCCUGUGUAUUAAUUAUUGAAAAUGUCUGUGUUUUACCAGCAGUAAGUUAUGUUUCACCAAUUGCCAUCUUUCAAGAGAGUUUUAACUGGGAAAUUUAUGACUCUCGAUUUCGCUAAGGAAAAAAUAAACAGCAGA